CAGAGAACAUAGAGGUGCAGAACUGCAAGGGGGAUGAAUUUUAUCGUAUAAAGGGGAAUAGAGAGAGGGACCCUCUGUUUGUUGUUUAGUUCAGCCUUUGCAUACAAGACGGAUCUAACAACGUAGUCUGGGCUCCGUGCCAAAGGCUGGUAUUUCACAGCAGCGACCGCCUUACAGAUGAGCUGUGGGAAGCAGGAGGGAGAAUCUCUUAGGGUGCCACUACUAUGGAGACACAGCUGGGCUGAACAAGAUUUACUUCCUUCGACAACAAGAGAAGCAGCAAAGUGUCUGGUUCAAGCGCUGCCCAAGCAGGCAGUAACCAGAAGAGCUAGCAGCCAAUCCGGCCAUGCUGCGCUGUUCGAAACCAGCUCUACAUCUCAGCCAAUCAGUGACGUCACUGGUCUUCAGGGAUUUUCACCAUGUAGCUGGCAACACCAAGUUCCUGUUUCACUAUGUAGCUUACUGCCUAAAUGCACCUUGAAUGUUUAAACUGGAAUAGAAAAUGAAGAAUUUGAUCGUUUAAGAUUGGACUAAAGUUGAACUGCAUUAUGAAGAAAAGAACGAAUGAAGUGCAUCAUAUUUCUACUUCAGUAGCCAGGACCUUUGUGGCUACUGAUUCUUUGGCUCUGGAUUCCUUUACUGAACAUCAUGGAUCUGUUGUUACAGCAGACGUUUCCAUUCCAUAAAAAAGACUAAAAUGCCAGAGGGAGAAAUCUGAAUCUUUUCAGGAUUUUGGUGGUGCCAUUCAAAAUCUUUGACUUUAAAAAACAGAAUGAUUUGGACAAAAUUCAUUUUCUUUAUGGCGACUAUGUUCAGAUGUGUGUUUCAAAUGAUCCAGCACACAGAAUGACAAUUUGCUGAAAGUCAUUGUGUCCUAGGAUUUAGGAAGUAAGAAGUAAAUCUGCAUUAAGAAGGCAGAAGUUUUUUCAUGUCAGUUGACAGAGAUAAAAUAUUUAUUAUAGGAACAAGGGAAAAAAACUUAAAUUAUGCCCAGAAGGCAUUCUUGCUCUAGAAUGACUUUUACGUGCCAAAUGUCAGGGCCCACUGCAACUGGAUAUGUAUUGUCAUAUCUUUGCCUAAAUCACAAGAAAAAUAGAAGAAACUGUGUAGAAGUCUGUGUGAAGCAGGUUUUACCCUGUGUUAAACAUCUUUUUUUUUGCAUGCACAACUUUGAUAGUGUUAUAGGUUAGAAGAUCUUUUUUAAAAACUUGGCAAUGUGUCAUAUGUUUUUGAAAGUCUGCUUUGACAGUCUUAUGCUGCCUAUUCAUGCUAUAUCAUCCCAAGUCAUAAAGAGAGAGAGAUUUAUAAGACAAUCAACAAAGUUUUGCCAAAUGAAUAUUCUCACUACUAAACCAGUCGGAUUAAUUGAAGAAGAAUUCAACUGGAUCUCAUUGGACUUUUCCUAGUCCCUGAGACCCUAACUUGUGAGGUUUAUUAGCAACAAUCACAAGUCAGGCUCUUGGGACCUAGGCGGAGGGGAACCAGCAGCUUUGGACUUUAUUAAUUUAUCUGCAGUAUUAUUACACAAAAAUAUAUAUAUUUUAAUUUCGGGUAGGCAUGUAAAAUGAGAAUUGGAUGUUGGGGCCUAUAAGUACAUUCAACAUGUAAUAUGCAGGUGGUAGCAUAUUUUCCACAGUUUUAAAUGUUCACAUACUUGCAUAUUCUGCUGUUCUGUACUGUUAAUACUUUGUAAAGUGUUAAAUCAAUUGGUAGAGAACAAUGAAAUACCACUGUUAGAUGAUGAAAUUAUGUCAUUUAUUAAGUGACAGUGAGGCCUAGCAAAUACCUCAUUCUCUUGUUUGUAGAGUUUUGAUGAAAGUCUGUAAAACAUUUUCUCUUGUCAUUGUGUUACUAUUUUUUCAAGUAUAACGAUUAUAACUUCUCCAAUUGUAAUUAGCACUACAACAUAUUAUCACAGUACUCCUACUACUUAAAAUAAUUCUAUUUCAGGUAUAACAUAAAGCUAUGGAAAAUAUAACUAUUGGGACGUCAAACUACUUCACCCAACUUCCUCUGAAGCAUGCUUUCACUUCAUUGCCACUUAUUGUUACUCAUAAAACCCCCACUGUCCUUUACAUUAUGAUGAACCACCAGAAAAUUCAUGAUAAAAAGUUGAAUAAAGAUGCAGAUAUUUCACAAUUUGAAUUAUACUUAAAAGUGUUCAUACUAAAUGUAUUUCCUAACAUAAUACUGUGAACUUCUCAUCAUUUUUUUCACUUUCUGUGUGCUGCAUUACAUUCUUCUUCUGUUGUGAAAAAUUCAAACUUUGCAAACUGAAACAAAGACUUUGCACAUUUAAAAUAUUUCAACUAUUCCAUUUUUUAUAUGAUAUUUUAACUUCAGGUAAUGUGGGAGGAACUGUUGUAUUGUCAGCCUCACUGUCAUUACAAUACAUUUUAUUGUACCAAAAUAAUUCAGUGACUUUUUUUGGUGGGGAAAUGGCUUUUCUUUUAAGAGAACACACUGUUAGCAAGGGCAUGGUACAAUACAAGACAAUAAUAAGUGUUUGUAGAUUAAUUUUUAUCAUAUGCUUAUGUCUUCUGAUUUAACUGUAAUCUUUAACCAAGUGAUUGUUAUUACUGGAGUCAAAAUCAUUUCAUUAUAUGAAAUAAGUAGUAUUCAUCUACAUAUGCAAGUUGCUCUCAAUCCAGAUAAUAUAAAAAUACUGGUUAUGUGAAUAAACAUCACGCUUAUAAUUAAUAAA